CCCCCUCUCUCUGUGUCUUUUUUAAGGUUGUUCAUAGUUACUGGUGAUGAAUGUUUCCGAGUAGAAGCGGUUCGGGUCAUGAACUGAUCGAUUCAUCUGAUGGGUACAUGGAUUAAUCAUAGUUAAUCACUUUUGGUUACUGGAUAAGGAAAAAAAACUGGUGCACACCUCCCUGCCUGUAGGAAGGAGACAAUACAAGCUACAACUGCUCUGUGUUGAGCGGUUGUUUGUUCUGAUGGGUGUCCAUUUGUUUCAGAUUUGCAAUUGUUCUAGUGAUGCUUAUUGAAGCCGUGACUGCUUGUUGGUGUUUUUUUUUUUGUAUUUCUUGAAGCAGGGGAAAGUUGUGGAAUUACAUAAUCUUGUAUGGUUGACAGUUAGUAUAUUGUUGCCGCUGUUAGUUGUUGUUUUUGGACAUUCUUCAAUGGUUGGUUGUUUAGUAGUGGUGCUCGGAAUCUUCCAUUUCCGAGGUUUUUCAUGAUUUGUCUCCCUUAUGAAUGAACUUUCUGGAUUACAUCCUUCUA